rnacentral:rRNA from 1 species
AUUGAACGCUGGCGGCAGGCCUAACACAUGCAAGUCGAGCGGAGCGGCGGACGGGUGAGGGAUGCCUAGGAAUCGGCCUGGUAGUGGGGGAUAACGUCCGGAAAUGGGCGCUAAUACCGCAACCUCUCAGAAGAGCCUAGGCGGGAUUAGCUAGUUGGUGGGGUAAAGGCCUACCAAGGCGACGACCCCUAACCGUUCUGAGAGGAUGAUCAGUCACACUGGAACUGAGACACGGCCCAGACUCCUACGGGAGGCAGCAGUGGGGAAUAUUGGACAAUGGGCGAAAGCCUGAUCCAGCCAUGCCGCGUGUGUGAAGAAGGUCUUCGGAUUGUAAAGCACUUUAAGUUGGGAGGCGUUACCAACAGAAUAAGCACCGGCUAACUUCGUGCCAGCAGCCGCGGUAAUAC